ACCGGCAGCUCAAGUGGUGGCCAUUUUUAUUGGGCCUAAAGCGUUCGUAGCCGGUUUGAUAAGUCUCUGGUGAAAUCCCGCAGCUUAACUGUGGGACUUGCUGGAGAUACUAUUAGACUUGAGGUCGGGAGAGGUUAGGGGUACUCCCAGGGUAGGGGUGAAAUCAUAUAAUCCUGGGAGGAAGACAUGUGGCGAAGGCGCCUAACUGGAACUAGCCUCACGGUGAGUCACGAAAGCCAGGGUUGCGCACCG
rnacentral:rRNA from 1 species